rnacentral:rRNA from 1 species
UACGUAGGCAGCAAGCGUUGUUCGGAGUUACUGGGCGUAAAGGGUGCGUAGGUGGCUCUAUAAGUAUGGUGUGAAAUCUCCCGGCUUAACUGGGAGGGUGCGCCGUAGACUGUGGGGCUAGAGUGUGGGAGAGGAAAGUGGAAUCCCUGGUGUAGCGGUGAAAUGCGUAGAGAUCGGGAAGAACAUCUGUGGCGAAGGCGGCCAGCUGGGCUGUUGCUGACGCUGAUGCGCGACAGCGUGGGGAGCAAACAGG